UUUCUUCUGUUGUUUUAUAUUUCUCAGUGAUACCAGAAUAAAAUUAUUAGUUUAAAAAUAAUAAAUUAUUGAGCUUCCACACAUCCUUAUGUUAGUAAACUCAGUAAACUACCAAAAUUACCCUUCCUAAAAGAUAAACUACCUACAAUAUAGCUUUGUUAAUGAGAUUAUGGAAAUUUGAAUAGAGGUUUGGUUAAAUGAAUUACCAUAUACCCAUAGUAUGGAAUAUUAUAACUGUACAAAAUAAUAUUUUAAAAUAUAUUAUAGACAUGGUUAGGUAUUCACAAGAUAUUUUUAAGAGAUAAAAAGC
rnacentral:lncRNA from 1 species